rnacentral:rRNA from 1 species
UAAACAACGUGAGCAACCUGCGUCUAAGAGGGGGACAACAGUUGGAAACGACUGCUAAUACCGCAUAACGUAUCGGGAUGGCAUCUUUCUGAUACCAAAGAUUUUAUCGCUUAGAGAUGGGCUCGCGUCUGAUUAGAUAGUUGGCGGGGUAACGGCCCACCAAGUCGACGAUCAGUAGCCGGACUGAGAGGUUGAACGGCCACAUUGGGACUGAGACACGGCCCAG